rnacentral:lncRNA from 1 species
AAAAAACAGCAAAAAACUAAAUUAAAAUAAAUUAAAAAUUAAAAACAUUAAACAUUUAAAAAAUUAGACAAAUUAAAAAACAUUAAAGAUUUGGGAUUGCCAGGCUGGCAAUUGUCCUCUGUAAUUUAGCAUGGGAGGGGCUACUGCUCCAAACAGGUGUGUUGGCAGUCAACUAUAUGCAAUUGCAGUUUAUUUUAAUGUUAAAAAAAAAAAAAAGAUAUGCUUGCCCUUUACCAUUUAUGGCAGUCCUCAAACAGAAUAGUUGACCUUCCUUUAUCUAUAUUUUCCUUUGAUUUGAUUUUCCGAUAAGGAAAUCCUCCAGCAAAUCUGCUAAUGAAGUCCCUGCUCAUUUUGCAUUCUGGAUUUGUCCAAAGAGGUGCUAAAUAUCAGCAGGUAAUGGAGGACGGGAACAAUACUGUUGAGCAACGACAAGCAAGUGAGAUUAAAGCUGAAAAUACUGAUUCUACAAGAACUGCUUGUUCAUGGGAAUGCUGCUGCUACAUGCCAGAAAAUCUAAAGAAGAAAAAUAAUGAAAAGGUGAAGUAAUUUCUUUGAAUUCACAGUAAAUCAGCAGACUCAUGGAUCGAAGUCAGACUAAUAGACCAAGGACAAACACAACUGCGGGGAUUGGCCUCUUCUCCCAGCGUAGGAGAGUUUCAAAGAGGAACCUGACAGAUAUUUGCUCCUGCUGGGCUGAGCUGUGAUGCUGGAGAUUUCAAGAAGAUACUCCACAGCAGUUGAGUGACUUUCUCAUUGCAAGGCAACGCUGGGAAAAGCAUCCUCUCCAGGUAGGAAGAAAGUGUAAAAAGAAGUCCGGAAAUGAGGCUUAUAUCUGAUGGAUAUUGGGUGCUGGCAGGGUCAUACCUGGAAAGAGGUGGUGCACCAAAACUGACAAGGUAGGGAAAUCUUCCAUCCAGGUUUACAGAGAAUAGCAGAGGGUUCACUCUCAUUUUGAUCUGAUAUAAUGCUUUGAAUCUGGGAAAAUAUAUGGUAUAACUUUUCAUUAAAAAAUAUUUAUUUUUUAACAUGUGAGACUAGAUGCAUUUCACAGUUUUAUUUUGCUGUUUCCUGUCUGUCUUUCUUCAACUCUCGUGCCUGUUAAAUGUCAAAAAAAAAAAAAAAAAAAAAAAACGUAUGCAAAGAGGCCAUGAGGGUGCAGGUCUGCUAAAGAGUCUGAGGGUAAUCAAUAAUGUGGAUUUGAUUUUCAGCCAUGCCAAAUAGCUCUGGUUCCACAUGGCAUUAUCAGCACCAGUAAGCAAUCAGUGUUAUACAUGGAGCUCUUUAAGUGCUCUUGGAUUGUUUCUUGAUCGGUAUCUGUGGGGAAAAAGAAGGUAACUUGACUUGUAAAGUUUCAAGAUUCAACCCACAUUUAUUUAUUGUUUCACAAUUUCCAGACUCCUCAUGGGAGUUACAAACAUAAGCCUCCAUCCUUGGGAGCACCAUGUGCUCCUGCACAUCAGUCUUGGGCUGCUGGAGCUUUAUUGCUGCUUUCACAGCUGUUGUGUUCCCAUACAUAAUUAAUAAGCAAACACUUCAUAUGGUAUUGUGAAUGGAUAAUGUUAUUAUAUUGUCCAUCGCACAUUGAAAUCAAAAUGGACCAAGACAAAUUUUUACUAGUAUCUUAGGAGAUCUUGCAGACAUCAGACAGGCUGAGAGAUAUCUGAACAUUAUUUCUAAGGAGGAGAUGAAAGUGUUUCACAACAUAUUGAUCUGUACCUGAGCGUAAAUGAUUAAUGUACUGUGGUCCAACUGCAGCUGGAUUUCUUUUGACAACAGCCAUGAAACAAGCUAUGAUCUCAUAUCCAUUGAUAGAUCGAUAUAUAUAGGUAUGUAUUUUUAUAUAUAGAUGCAUUUACCUUUAUCAUGUGAUUGAGUGGCAGACCUUGCAUUAUAAAUCAAGGCUUGGCAAAAGUGGAAGUAUAAACUUGACACAUUUCUGGAUGUAUGUGAUCUAGUAUUUAUUAGUUUUUUCCUCUCAGUGUGAUUCUCUUUCCAACUUUCCUCAUUUUUGACUGAGAAUCCCUUGAUAGACUCUAUUAUUUCCAAAAUUUUCCUCUAUACUGAAAUACUGUCAAUACUACUUGAAAUGUGUUAUGGAAAGAAUGCCAUUUGUCCACUGCUCUGCUUAAGAUGGGCACUUAUGAGUUAAUUUUUUAAAAUCUCCAUUUUCUUCUGAUGUAAGUAUAAACAAAUAAGAAGGUAAGACUGAAGUUGAAAUGGGGAAAAAUGUGGGCAAGACAAUUAACAUUUGCAAAGCAAUAAGGACUUACCUGAAUAGCUUAAUUGAACACUGGAGACUUCGUGUUUCUGGGGAGAAAGAAGAAUAAAUUCAGUGCCAUUUAACACCGAUGUGUUAAGCAAUGUAAGUUGCUACAUUAAUAAUCUUUCCUGGCAUAUUGAGUGGGAAUUUUGUAUCUAUUUAUUUCUUUAUGCUGUAUCUAUUGCAGGAAUUCUUUCUCCUGUACUCUUUUCUGACAAGCGAACCUCAGUAUGCCAACAGAAUAACUCUGCCUUCCUUGCCACGCACAAUAGACUGUUUUUAAUGCCUUGAUUACAAUUUACAUCUAAUGCCUAGGGAAAGAAGAACCAUUCUGAGAAGCUUUCAAAAUAUGUUUGCAGUCUCAUAACCAACUCAAACUGCAAAUAUGUUUUUCUUUUAUGGGUUUACACUUAGCAACUGAACAUAGUUAUAUCUGCCCAGAAGCCUUGUACAUAAUUACGUCUUGAUUCACACUGGUUCUGGGAAAGCAUUAAGUCAAAAUGGUUAUAAAUAUGUAAUCUGAAUAAUUUGAUUUGUCAGUGAGAAACAUUAUUUAACUACAAUAUUUUGGAUGAAGUCGCUGCUUUCGUUGAAUACUUGCAUUUGUAGUGUAAUAAGCCACUGCAAACCAAUAAUGAAUGGCAAACUUUGGAAGUAUGGAAAUUAUAUUGUCUGAGGAAACCUGCAACACAGUACAAUGAUAACUGGCUCAGUCAAGGGUAAAAUCAAGAGGAAAAAUAGUUAAUUCUAUUUUCUUGACAUUUGUUGUUGCUUUGUUUUGUUUUUUAAACGAGAGAGAGAUUUUUUCCCAGUGCUUCAGAAACCUUCUUCGUAUCACCUCAUGUCAGAAGCAAUUGUAUGGAGUGGAUGUAAAAAGGCCUGGGACAAUUGCACAGUUCAUACUGUAAAGAUGAAAGCAGCCUGCUCUUUCUGGUACAUCUCCGCUUUGAUCUACAUAGUGUGGAAAACUGAGACCUUGCCCAGCAUAAUGCUGCAGGCUUCUGCCGUGUUGCAAGUCCUUGGAACAGAGAGAGGAAAAGGUGCUGUACUCAUACCAUGGCAGUUACAGAAGAACAAAGACUGGUAUAUGCUGAAACUUGUCAGUUGAUGAAGUUAGCUCUGCAAAUGGAUUUAAAAACUUCUUUGUCAAAAAAGUGGAUGCUUAUCACUCAAUUAUUUUUAUGUCCUCAAGCUGAAUCUAUUACUUAUUCAUCACAAUCGUAAUACUAAAUUGAGUUACCAGAAGAGGUUGAGAUUGCUUUUACUUUCCAUCCUUCAAGGGCUGUGAGGCUAGAUACGGCAGGUACUCUGAACCUGUUGCUUCAGGACCCCAGGAAGACUCAAGCCUUUCCAGUAUCAAGUUGUUGACAAAGAUGAGUCCCUGCCAGUAGGAUCCAAGGACUACUUGUGUCACUGCAGUGAGGAGGACAUCACGCAAGUCACAUACAACCAAAUUGCAAGUUAACUGCCGAGCUCAUGAGGGAUAUGCAAUUCUACAAACCUCCCAAAGUAAACUCACAAUUUGCGCUCCCUGAAGGCACUAAAAAUCAACGAGAGUCAUGGAAUACUGGAACAUAUGGAAGAGUUUGCCACCCUUUGCACAAACACACAAGACACCAUUACCCUACAGGGCUACAUCAUAUUUAUGUUUGCUAUUAGAAUGCACCUCAGUAAUACGCACGGCCCCAUUCAAAGUGAAGCAUGGCAACACCUGGUGUUUGUGUGAAACCAUCCCAGAAGGUUUACAAAUUCAAUUAAGAAAAAACGCAAUGAGCUGUGGCAGGGAAGAUAAGUGCUAUACAGGCAGGAAGGCAUUACUUAUAGUGACAAAUCUGCUGGCACCACUCAAGUGUCUGUGCCUAAAGAAGGAGACUGAAUGUGACAGGAAAACAACCCUUAACAGAAAUGUUAUUCUUCUACUUUAUCGAGAUUUCUUAGUGACCUUUGGGAUGCAGUUGCAAUCACACAUCCUUAUCUGUUACAUUUUAAAUUGCUACUGCUUGCUUUCACACACGCACCAAUCCAGUUGAAAUGCAAAACUAUUAAGAUGUACAUAAAGUCGUGAGGUAUCUUAGAGGCUCAGAUAAAACACAGAAAAUUUCAAAACUUCAGAUUCCACUAAGAAUGAAAAAUAAAAAUAAUAAAAAAACAUACCUGAUGAAUGCUUACAUAUGUCCUCUCAGAGUGCUCAGCCUCUGUCUGGUUCCCAAUGCAAGGCAAAGAAUCGUAGAAUCAUUGCAGUUGGAAAGACCACUAAGAUCACCCAGUCAACUCAUCAACCCAUUACCACCAUAGCACUAACCCAGGCCAACCACAUGUAGCUUCCUUCCCACCACUGUGAGUGGAAGACUCGCACAUUCAAUCAUCACAAAGCCAACCAAAUGCAUCCCUGGACUCACUUCAGCCUUUUCCAGCACCCACACUAACAACAGCCCCAAGGAGCUGUGAGAGAACACCUGGGAGCCAGCUUCAGCCUCAGGUACCAUCCAAAACCCUUCCCUUUAGAGUUCCCUGUUCCCUACAGAGGGGAAGCAGAGACAGGCUCUCCUUCAAACAUGUAGCUCCUUUCCUCUCCUCACUUUCCUAAAGAGGUCCUUGGGGUCCUGCUCCCCAGGCUGGGUGUUCUUUCCCUUUUCCUGCUCUAUGCCAUGUGAAAGGAAACUGACCACUCACAGAGGACUGAUGCUGUCUUCUUGUCAGAUGCUGUGUUGUGCAGUUGCACCGCAUUGGACGCAUUUUGCACAGCCCCACAAUUUUAGUUUGUGUUAUAAUUAACAAAUACUCAUUGACAUAGCAAAGAAAUUAAACAUUCUCAUGCUAUUCACAUUAUACAUUAUUAAGACAGGGAAGAGUCUCCUCCUAAUGCUGCCUUUGAGCCACAGUUUACUUAUUCCACUCAAGAUAAACAGCACCCUGCUCUGUUUCCCUACCGUGACAAUGUCUCUGUGAAGUAAUGUGCAGCUCAUUCUAAUUAGCCGAAUUUCAUGCUCUCCUACUUUGUUAUUGUUGAGCUCUUAGUUUGCGCUCUGGGCUUCAGUGCUUUUUUGUGGCCAAGAAAACACAGUGAUUGCC